AGAAAUUUAGGUUAAUUACCAAACCAAGAGCCUUCAAAGCCCUAAAUACGAGCCAUCACCUCAUAAUUUCUG
rnacentral:tRNA from 1 species